GACGAACGCUGGCGGCGCGCCUAACACAUGCAAGUCGAACGAGCGAGAGAGAGCUUGCUUUCUUGAGCGAGUGGCGAACGGGUGAGUAACGCGUGAGGAACCUGCCUCAAAGAGGGGGGACAACAGUUGGAAACGACUGCUAAUACCGCAUAUGCCUUAAUUAUCACAUGAUAAUAGAGGGAAAGGAGCAAUCCGCUGAUAGAUGGGCUUGCGUCUGAUUAGAUAGUUGGUAAGGUAACGGCUUACCAAGUCGACGAUCAGUAGCCGGACUGAGAGGUUGAACGGCCACAUUGGGACUGAGAUACGGCCCAG
rnacentral:rRNA from 1 species